rnacentral:other from 1 species
UGGGCUUGCGAGUGCUAGGUUGUGUAUCUCGACCAGCCAAGUUCUAGACAGCACUGUUGAAUCCCUGGGAGGAGAGAGCAUGGGGCGUGCUGAUUUAAAAACAGAAAAUGCAAAGCUGGACUGAAAAUAUCCCUGGUCUUCCAGGCAAUCUGCUUAAGGGUUCCAAACUUACCUUAAUUUGGUGAGAAAAGAAGCUGCCCUAUUUUUCUUUCUUCUGCUUCUGCAACUGGAACCAGCCAUUCCCGAAAGCCAUCACCAUG